CAAAGACAAUGAACUCCUUGCACACAGAAAAACACACAAUGCAUUACACACACACACGCAAUGCAACCCUUACACACAAUGCAUCCCUUGCACACACAGAAACACACAAUGCAUUCCUUACACACACUCAAUGCACCCCUUACAGACUCACACACUUUAUCCCUUACAUACACAGAAACACACCUUGCAGCCCUUACACAUACAAACACAGAUUCACACAAUGCAUUCCUUACACACAAAUCAGGACAUUCCC